rnacentral:sRNA from 1 species
GCUGGGCAUGGUGGCCCAUGCCUGUAAUCCCAGUGGCUCAGGAGGCUGUGGCAGGAGGAUUGCGAGUUCAAAGCCAGCCUU